rnacentral:RNase_P_RNA from 1 species
GACUCCAAGGCCAGUGCAACAGAAAUAAACCGCCCGGACAGAUGCAUAUGGAUAACAGGCAGGGACAAAAGAGGUGCUGGUUAUCCAUAUGCAUCUGUCCGGGUAAGGGUGGAAAGGCAGUGUAAGAGACUACCGCCUCUCUGGUAACAGCGAGGGCACAUGUAAACCCCAUCCGAAGCAAGACCGGAAAGAAGCAAUGUGGCUGCCCGUCACGCUUCAGGUAGGUCGCUCGAGCACGGCGGCGACGCCGCGCCUAGACAGAUGAUCGUCCAACGACAUAACCCGGCUUAUCGUCUUGCUUAACAC